GAGCUUGCUCCUCUGGAUUAGUGGCGAACGGGUGAGUAACACGUGAGCAAUGUGCCCUUGACUCUGGAAUAAGCGCUGGAAACGGCGUCUAAUACCGGAUACGACCCUCGGAGGCAUCUCCUGGGGGUGGAAAGAACUUCGGUCAAGGAUCAGCUCACGGCCUAUCAGUUAGUUGGUGAGGUAAUGGCUCACCAAGACGACGACGGGUAGCCGGCCUGAGAGGGUGACCGGCCACACUGGGACUGAGACACGGCCCAGACUCCUACGGGAGGCAGCAGUGGGGAAUAUUGCACAAUGGGCGCAAGCCUGAUGCAGCAACGCCGCGUGAGGGACGACGGCCUUCGGGUUGUAAACCUCUUUUAGCAGGGAAGAAGCGAAAGUGACGGUACCUGCAGAAAAAGCACCGGCUAACUACGUGCCAGCAGCCGCGGUAAUACGUAGGGUGCAAGCGUUGUCCGGAAUUAUUGGGCGUAAAGAGCUCGUAGGCGGUUUGUCACGUCUGCUGUGAAAUCCCGAGGCUCAACCUCGGGCUUGCAGUGGGUACGGGCAGACUAGAGUGCGGUAGGGGAGAUUGGAAUUCCUGGUGUAGCGGUGGAAUGCGCAGAUAUCAGGAGGAACACCGAUGGCGAAGGCAGAUCUCUGGGCCGUAACUGACGCUGAGGAGCGAAAGCAUGGGGAGCAAACAGGCUUAGAUACCCUGGUAGUCCAUGCCGUAAACGUUGGGAACUAGAUGUGGGGAC
rnacentral:rRNA from 1 species